CCCAAAAGCCCAUCCUGCUCCCACCAGCCCAGAGCUCAGAGCCAGCCCAGCCCUCAGGGCUGUUCCCAGCUGGUGUCCAGCAGGAGCUCUGUGCUUUCCUCAGCUGGUACCAAUGGUCUGAGCAGCAAAUCCCCUGCCCAGCCUCCCCUCCCCGCUGGAAACCCCUGUGAGAUACUCAGUGAUUAAUUCCCCAUUUAGCAGGGGGCUGUGCUCUGUGAGCCUGAGAAAACAGCAGCACAGGGCUUGUUUAUCAGGAGAAUAAACAGGAACUGAAAGUGCUCUUGCCACGUUUGGAUCGAGUUCUCCUGGAUAAAAGGGGAAAAGCAAAUUAUUGUUGUUUGUGCUGUCCCCUUUUCCAGGGAAACCCGUACAGGGAAUCUCAGGGGCUUGUUCUGAAGAAAAUAUUCCCAGCUUCCUCUCCAGUUGCCUUCUCCAAGGCCCAUCCUCCUCCUUCAGGGCACGAGGCCACCCUGCCUCUGCA
rnacentral:lncRNA from 1 species